rnacentral:rRNA from 1 species
UACGGAAGGUCCGGGCGUUAUCCGGAUUUAUUGGGUUUAAAGGGAGCGCAGGCGGAAGGAUAAGCGUGACGUGAAAUAUGGCGGCUCAACCGUCGGACUGCGUCGCGAACUGUUUUUCUUGAGUGGGUUCGACGUAGGCGGAAUUCGUGGUGUAGCGGUGAAAUGCUUAGAUAUCACGAAGAACCCCGAUUGCGAAGGCAGCCUACGAGGCCUUUACUGACGCUAAUGCUCGAAGGUGCGGGUAUCGAAC